rnacentral:misc_RNA from 1 species
GGAGAACCUUGUUCAACCAACACAGGAUCAGAUUGCUGCAGACCAUUAUCCAGGUGAGGAAAGGGUAAUUUGUCAUCAGGAUCUGAGUCCUCACCAUCAAAUACGAUAUCAAUCCCCUGAAGAUCAUCAUCAAGGUCAGUCUUUAACUGCUUAGGUUUGCUUAACUUCUCCAAGUCUGUGUCAUUUGCAGGAACCCCACCCUUCACUUGGGAUGCAG